AUGAACGCUGGCGGCGUGCCUAAUACAUGCAAGUCGAGCGAACAGACGAGGAGCUUGCUCCUCUGACGUUAGCGGCGGACGGGUGAGUAACACGUGGAUAACCUACCUAUAAGACUGGGAUAACUUCGGGAAACCGGAGCUAAUACCGGAUAACAUGUUGAACCGCAUGGUUCAACAGUGAAAGACGGUUUUGCUGUCACUUAUAGAUGGAUCCGCGUCGCAUUAGCUAGUUGGUAAGGUAACGGCUUACCAAGGCAACGAUGCGUAGCCGACCUGAGAGGGUGAUCGGCCACACUGGAACUGAGACACGGUCCAGACUCCUACGGGAGGCAGCAGUAGGGAAUCUUCCGCAAUGGGCGAAAGCCUGACGGAGCAACGCCGCGUGAGUGAAGAAGGUCUUCGGAUCGUAAAACUCUGUUAUUAGGGAAGAACAAAUGCGUAAGUAACUAUGCACGUCUUGACGGUACCUAAUCAGAAAGCCACGGCUAACUACGUG
rnacentral:rRNA from 1 species